rnacentral:rRNA from 1 species
GGAGGGUGCAAGCGUUAUCCGGAUUUAUUGGGUUUAAAGGGUCCGCAGGCGGACUAAUAAGUCAGUGGUGAAAUCUCUCGGCUCAACCGAGAAACUGCCAUUGAUACUGUUAGUCUAGAGUGUAGUUGGCGUAGGCGGAAUGUAUCAUGUAGCGGUGAAAUGCUUAGAUAUGAUACAGAACACCGAUCGCGAAGGCAGCUUACGAAACUACAACUGACGCUCAGGGACGAAAGCGUGGGGAGCGAACAGGAUUAGAUACCCUGGUAGUCCACGCUGUAAACGAUGAUUACUCGUUGUCGGCGAUACACUGUCGGUGGCUAAGCGAAAGUGAUAAGUAAUCCACCUGGGGAGUACGAUCGCAAGGUUGAAACUCAAAGGAAUUGACGGGGGCCCGCACAAGCGGAGGAGCAUGUGGUUUAAUUCGAUGAUACGCGAGGAACCUUACCUGGGCUUAAAUGCUUAAUGACGUACUGAGAAAUCGGUAUUUCUUCGGACAUUUUGCAAGGUGCUGCAUGGUUGUCGUCAGCUCGUGCCGUGAGGUGUCGGGUUAAGUCCCAUAACGAGCGCAACCCCUAUCGUUAGUUGCCAUCAGGUCAUGCUGGGGACUCUAACGAAACUGCCCGCGUAAGCGUGGAGGAAGGUGGGGAUGACGUCAAAUCAGCACGGCCCUUACGUCCAGGGCUACACACGUGCUACAAUGGUCGGUACAAAGGGCAGCUACCUGGUGACAGGAUGCUAAUCUCCAAAACCGAUCUCAGUUCGGAUCGAAGUCUGCAACUCGACUUCGUGAAGCUGGAUUCGCUAGUAAUCGCGCAUCAGCCACGGCGCGGUGAAUACGUUCCCGGGCCUUG